AAAUUGAAGAGUUUGAUCAUGGCUCAGAUUGAACGCUGGCGGCAGGCCUAACACAUGCAAGUCGGACGGUAGCACAGGGGAGCUUGCUCCUUGGGUGACGAGUGGCGGACGGGUGAGUAAUGUCUGGGAAACUGCCCGGUGGAGGGGGAUAACUACUGGAAACGGUAGCUAAUACCGCAUAACGUCUUCGGACCAAAGUGGGGGA
rnacentral:rRNA from 1 species